CUCAAGUGAUGAUUAUUGGAGGUAGAGCACUGUUUGGACGAGGGGCCCCUCUCGGGUUACCGAAUUCAGACAAACUCCGAAUGCCAAUUAAUUUAACUUGGGAGUCAGAACAUGGGUGAUAAGGUCCGUGUUCGAAAGGGAAACAGCCCAGACCACCAGCUAAGGUCCCAAAAUAUAUGUUAAGUGGAAAAGGAUGUGGCGUUGCCCAGACAACUAGGAUGUUGGCUUAGAAGCAGCCAUCAUUUAAAGAGUGCGUAAUAGCUCACUAGUCGAGUGACACUGCGCCGAAAAUGUACCGGGGCUAAACAUAUUACCGAAGCUGUGGAUUGUCCUUUGGACAAUGGUAGGAGAGCGUUCUAAGGGCGUUGAAGCAUGAUCGUAAGGACAUGUGGAGCGCUUAGAAGUGAGAAUGCCGGUGUGAGUAGCGAAAGACGGGUGAGAAUCCCGUCCACCGAUUGACUAAGGUUUCCAGAGGAAGGCUCGUCCGCUCUGGGUUAGUCGGGUCCUAAGCUGAGGCCGACAGGCGUAGGCGAUGGAUAACAGGUUGAUAUUCCUGUACCACCUAUAAUCGUUUUAAUCGAUGGGGGGACGCAGUAGGAUAGGCGAAGCGUG
rnacentral:rRNA from 1 species